GAAAUUAUUAUGCUUAAUUAGAAAGAUUAUAAUAAUCAAAAGAGACUUGACACUCGAGAGUCAAGACAUUAAAAUAUUUAAAUAUAAAUUUAUAAUAUGUUAAAAUAAAAUAAAAAAAUCACAAUUUCCAAGCCGUGUUUACCCGUUUAAUCUACUAUUUAAACCCUCUCGCUAUGCAAAAACCCAAAAACCUGCCGAGCCCAAAGUCACUCAAAUCCCUUGAAAAAAAAUACAAAGUUCGGUAGAUAAACGAAGAACAAACCGUCUAUUUCUCCAAUUCCAGUAUGACGCCACCAUAAACUUGAAGAAAUUCAAGGAAAAAUACGGUACCAAUCCUGAAAGGUAAGAUCUACCAGCAAAACUUUCGGCUAGAAAUCAUCCGAUUGGCGUUUACCUGACUAAAGGUUCGGCCUGCCUCUUCAUCUUCUUCGGCGUUGCACACAGCACACUUGCACUUGCUUGUGGACGGAGGACCUGUGGUUUUAGGUUUUGCUUGUUAGGGGUACGAUUGUGCGUUCUUCAUUGGUUUUGUCUCUUAUGGCUUUAUCAAGAAUUAGAUUGUUUAUUACUAUUAGUCAUGUGCUGAUGUUUAGAUCCAUUCUUACUGAGGAUUGGUUAUUUGCUUUUUUCUUGAAAUCAUCCAAAUACAUGCACAUUUCUCAAUUAUUUGCCUACUUCUUGAAAUCAAUUUUCGAAUUCUUUACUAAUUUCAAUAAUAAUUGAAUACUAGUUGUUAAAAAUUAAAAAGGGGUAAACUAAAAAACUUCUUGGUAAAAAAUUACUUUAAUAACAUUAAAUAAGAUUUUUAGUGUUGACAUAAUAUAACUUCAAUGGUUGUUGACGUGAUUAUUUAGAAUUUUAGUGUUGGAAAUUGUGCUUAAAUUAUGCUUAGAGUCAGAUAACGAUAGAGAAUAAUUUCAAAUGCGCGUUAGUGAUUUUUAUAAUGAUUAAUCUUCAUGAACACUUAAUCGCAAUACAUUUAAAUAUUAAACUAUAAAUUUAUAAUAUAUUAAAUUAAAAAAUUCACAAUUAAAAAAAGGAAGACGCUAUUUACGCGUUAUAUCUAACUAUAGAUAGACCCUUUUGCUAUGCCUAAAAAUGCACUCUCGUAACAAUCCAUUCGUUUGAAUUGGCAGAAGAAAUAGAAUUCAUCACCAAUCAGGUUCUAAAUUUAAACCUUUCUUCUAUUUAUUAUUGUUGAGUCUAAUCGAGUUCUUGAUUUCAUACUUAUUACUUGAAUUUGGAUUAAUUUGGCCAAAGAUCUUUCAGGAGACUAUGUCAAUCACUUCAUUUUCAAGGAGACAACAUGACAAUCAUUUAACCCAUGACUGCCGUCAGAACUUUAUAUGCAGAAAUACAGAGCUGUUUUUCAAAUGCGAUGGAUGCAAGAUGAACGGGUUCGGAGAAAGGUACACGUGCAAUCUCUGUCGUAGUAGAUUCCACAUGGAGUGUGCGCACCCCAUACCCUCCAUUUCCCAUGAGAAUUUUCCUGGCUCCAUCUUCAAAUUUUAUAGCAAACCAUUUACAGUAUGGGAUAGUAAAAAGAAUUGCAAAAAGUUCUCGAAGUUGUGCUAUGCAUGUGGAAAGGAAAUAUGCGGUUUUAACUACCAUUGUGGAGCAGACAGUUUGGAUUUACAUCCAUGUUGUCGAAAACUUGAAAAUAAACUAAUAAUUGAUGAUAUGAUAUUUGAUCUUGUGACUAAGAUUUCAUCGAAGUGUGUUAAGUGCGGAAAGCAGAAGAUUUCUCGUGAUAAGAGAAAUGUCCGAGGCUGGUCUUAUGUUUCCCAGUGCAAAAAGUAUCGUCUUCAUGUGUAUUGUUUAACUGAUAUAAUACAAGAGGUGUAUAUGAAGCGGGAGAACCUUACAUUGAAUGAUAUAGAUUCAAUAAAAUUAGUUACGCGUUACAGAAACGGAAAUGGUGAAAAUACAUUCGUUACAUGUGCCAAAUUGGUUAUCAAGAUUCUAGUGUCUGUUCUUUUGGGCGAUGUUACUACGCUCUUUUCCGGUGCCAUGGUGGAGUUGUUCGUCAGGCACUUGUGGAAGAAGGGAGGGGAUUCUCGAACGCGGAAAAGGAUCCAAUNAAUUCGAAAGAAUUGAACGAGGAGCCGUAUGAGGUGAAAAUCUCAUGUACGGUGAUCAUAGUGUCUUUUUCCUCUUCUACUUUCAAUGCGGAUGACAUAAAUAAAUGUUUUUUUUUUCCAUGAAUCAAUUCAUUUGUCCAAUCAUGAGAAAAUUGUGUGUGAACGAUGGUUUUUGUAAUGAACAUUUUAAUUUGAAUAAUCUUAUAGAGGAAGCAUUAUAAUAGACCAUUAUUAUAUUGUCCCCCUCCCCCACAUCCUUGACUCGGCAUGUGGAUAUUAGUCAUGUCCCUGCUUAAUUGUUAUCCCUAGUCUGGGAUAUGAAAAAUUUCCAAUUCAUUCGGACUUUGACUGGUAUGUUGUUC
rnacentral:lncRNA from 1 species